UACGGAGGGUGCGAGCGUUGUCCGGAAUCACUGGGCGUAAAGGGCGCGUAGGCGGCGCGGAUAGUCGGCGGUGAAAGCCCGGAGCUCAACUCCGGGUCGGCCGUCGAUACUUCCGGGCUUGAGCACUGUAGAGGCAGAUGGAAUUCCGGGUGUAGCGGUGGAAUGCGUAGAGAUCCGGAAGAACACCGGUGGCGAAGGCGGUCUGCUGGGCAGUUGCUGACGCUGGUGCGCGACAGCGUGGGGAGCAAACAGG
rnacentral:rRNA from 1 species